GUAUGAUAACAUACCAUAAAUCAGUCAAAUACAAUUUGGACAAGGAAAUCCAAAAGAAUGCGUGAUGACUGUACUGAGUUUGUAUCUUUUAUGCACACGAAGCUCUUCUGAUUUUGAUUUUUAUGAACUUGAAAUUUGAUUCUGAACACAUAAAAGUACCCAACUUUUAGAAAAUGCUUUAUCUUGGCAAUAUUCCCUGUGUAGAGAUUGCCUUGGGAUGCAAGGUUUAGCCAUGUUCCGUUUGGAUUAAGAGGUUGCCCUCCAUAAAGAGAAUCAGGAUACUUCUUCCCAUCAUUUAUACUCACCCCACUUCAUAACAGUUCACAGUACUGUCAUGUGAGAAAAUAAAGUUUAACUUUUUUGUGCCUUGUAAUCCUUUCCAGAAAGUGCAAGGUCUUCAGCAAUGCUAUUGUGGUGCUGGGAUGGAGGAGGAUACAUUGCCUGCAAAACAAUGGUUUCUCUAGCACUUUGAGAACUGAAAAAUGCAGAACGGCUGCAGAGAUUUCAUUGAAAAGUGACAAUCAGAAUCUUGCAAAAAUUUUCACUGAGGGAAAGCUGAAAGAAGUAGGAUUGCUCAGCCUAAUGAAGAGGAGAAUGGAGGAAUGAAACAACUCAUGCUUCCAGUAUACUGGUCUUCAUCAAAACCCACCUGGACAC
ensembl:lncRNA